UCCCCUAGCAUUGCCUGUCUAUCCUUGCCUUCCUCCCAACUUGUUGGCAGUUCAGCCAUGUUUUGUUCUAAGUAAAGUUUGUUCCACUACAGCUGCUGUGAGCCUCUUUUAUAAUACUGUGUCCAGAAUACAACACUGGCAACGAGGAUGGGAUUAACGCAUGAAAAAAAAUCUACAAGAGUCAGUGAGUAAACAGAAACCUUGAGACCUUAUUGCUCCAUAAUGGUGUCCCUGGGCCACAUAGAAGAGUUUGAUAUUGCCAGGCCAUCCUCCUGGGAUUCCUAUGCAGAGAGAUUGCAUUUCUUUCUAGAAGCAAAUAAUGUGACAAACCCUAUGCAGAGACGUGCAGUGCUGCUCAGUGUCAUAGGCUCAAAGACUUAUGAGAUUGUGCGCUCUCUGGUGUCCCCCACUAAACCCAGUGACUGCUCAUUUGAGGAAAUUAUUAAGCAACUUAAAAAUCAUUUUGCACCCACCAUAUCUGAGACUGUUAAGAGGUUCCACUUUAACAGACGCAGCCAGCAGCCGGAUGAGAGUAUUGCUGCCUAUAUAGCAGAGCUGCGCAGAUUGGCAGAAAGUUGUAAUUUUGGCAGCAGCUUGGAAUCCUUGCUAAGGGACCGUAUUGUGUGUGGGGUCAGGGAUGCAGCACUGCAAAGAAGGCUGCUAGCUAAGCACAACCUAACCUUUGCUUGGGCCCAGGAGGAAGCACUUGCUUAUGAGGCUGCAUCUGUGCAUUCCAAGGAAAUACAGGCCUCACCCAGUUCAGUUAUUGCACCGGAGCUGCAUCAAGUGUAUAACAAGCCUGAUGUUAAACUGCAGCCUGCAUUAGCACAAGUAUCAGAUCAAGCAAAAGUAAUGUGCCAUAGUUGUGGGGGAGGCCACUUGCGUGGCAACUGUCGUUUCCAAAAUGCUGUGUGUCACAAAUGCAAGCGUCGUGGCCACAUACAGAGAGUCUGCCGCCAAGCUGAUAAUCUACAGAGACCCAAGCAAGCCAGAGCAAAUCUAUCUGGGAAUGCAACCCAUAUAGUGAAAAUCCAAAAUGACACCACUGAGAAAGAGGCAGAUACAGGUAUCUAUAUCUCUGAAAUAAUAAAUAGUGUUGAGAAUCAGCCAAUGUGCAAAAAGAAAUACACUGAUGUAAUACUACAAGGAUCUAAGUGUAGAAUGGAGGUAGAUACAGGCUGUGACUAUUCCUUAAUUUCAGAGGAAACCUUCCAUGCAUUAUGGCCCACUAAUUGCCCACCUAUUUUACCAUGUGACGUUAGACUUGUGGAUUACAAUAAAAAGCCUGUGGAUGUUGUGGGUGCAUGUUUUGUUAAAGUCCUCUAUGAAAAAGACAGAGGAAAACUACGCCUCAUCAUUACUAAAGGUCAAAGAGCAAGUUUAUUAGGAGUAGAGUGGUUUGAACCCCUGGGCAUUCAGUUAACCGGAGUAAAUUAUGCAACAGCAGACUCUUUGCAAGCAGUCAUCAAAGACUUUAGCAGUGUAUUUGAAGAAGGCCUGGGUAAAUUUAAGGGCUCACCAAUAUCAUUCCUACUGGAUCCCAAAGUUGUCCCAAUACGCAUGAAGCCCCGGCCUGUACCAUUUGCUCUCCGUUCAAAAAUAGAUGACGAAAUAGAUCGCUUAGUGCAACAAGGAGCACUAAUUCCAGUAACCCACCCAACUUGGGCCACCCCAAUAGUGCCUGUACUGAAGCCAAAUGGAGAAGUGAGGAUAUGUGCUGACUAUAAAUGCACAAUCAACAAGGCAUUACAAGAACAUCCAUAUCAAAUUCCUGCUGUCAAUCAAAUUCUCAGCACCUUGGCUAAGGGGAAGUUAUUUGCCAAACUUGAUUUAGCGCAAGCAUACCAGCAGUUGCAGGUGGAUGAUGCAGCUGCUGAUGCACAAACAAUUAUCACACACAAAGGAGCAUUUAAAGCUACUAGAUUGCAGUUUGGUGUUUGCAUUGCACCAGGCGUAUUCCAGAAAUUGAUGGAUGACCUUCUUUCCAGCCUGCCAGGGGUGGUGCCAUAUUUUGACGAUGUCCUCAUUGGAGCAGACUCUGUGGAAUCAUUAACUGAAAGGGUGAGAGCAGUAUUAAAGCAAUUUUCAGAUGCUGGAUUAAAACUUAAGAAAGAAAAAUGUGUUUUUGGGGGUACCAAGUGUUGAUUUCCUUGGAUACAAAGUUGAUGCACAUGGAAUACAUCCAACAGAUACAAAAGUGAAAGCCAUUCAUGAAGCUCCAUUCCCCAAAAAUAAACAGGAGCUGCAAGCAUUUCUUGGCCUAUUAAAUUUCUACCAUUCCUUCCUGAAAGACAAAGCUACUGUUGCUGAGCCACUGCACAGACUACUGGAUAAAAAUGCUACCUGGAAGUGGUCAGCCCUGCAUGAGCAGGCAUUUAGUGAUGCCAAGAGACUUUUAUCAUCAGACAGUGUGUUAGUACAUUAUGAUUUGAAUAAACCUCUUACCCUGACAUGUGAUGCUUCUCCCUAUGGAAUAGGAGCGGUUUUAAGUCAUACCGUAAGUGGUGGUCGUGAGGCUCCAAUUGCAUUCUAUUCACGGACCAUGAGUACCACAGAAAGGAAUUAUGCUCAGAUUGAUAAGGAAGCUCUAGCCAUUGUGGCAGGUGUAAAAAAAUUCCAUGAGUACUUGUAUGGCAGAGGUUUUGCUAUUAUUACUGACCAUAAGCCGUUGUUGGGACUUUUAAAGAAUAAUGGGCCUACUGCACAGAUAAUUUCUCCACGCAUGCUAAGAUGGUGUUUAUUGCUGAAUGCUUAUGACUAUGAGUUGCAGUACCGUCCAGGGAAAGACAUAAGUAAUGCAGAUGCGUUAAGCCGUUUGCCUCUAAACACUCCUGAUUUUCAAAUACCGGCCUUGUCCGAGGUCCUCAUGCUAGAGUCCUUAGCUAGUCCCCCUCUACAGGCAUCAGAUAUUGCUCGCAUGACAGCUACCGACCCAGUAUUGUCUCGAGUGUUGAAGUGGGUAUGGAGGGGGUGGCCAAAAAUAAGUUUAAAAGAAGAGUUCACACCUUUUGAGAAACGCCAGCAUGAACUCUCUGCAUACAAAGGGUGCCUUUUGUGGGGAAAUAGAGUGGUAAUUCCCAAAGCUGGGCAAACCCAUGUUCUCAAAGCCCUGCAUGAGAGUCACCCAGGUAUUGUAAAUAUGAAAGCCCUUGCAAGAAGUUAUGUCUGGUGGCCUAAAGUGGAUGAAUGCAUUGAAAAAUGGGUAAAAAGUUGUGUUCCUUGCCAAUCCACCCGCCAUGCCCCUGCUAAGGCCGGGGUACAUCCAUGGGAGGUGACUCGGAGCCCAUGGUCUCGGCUACAUAUAGAUUUUGCAGGCCCAUUUCAAGGUCAAACAUUCUUCCUUGUAGUGGACUCCUUUUCCAAAUGGUUGGAAGUUGUUUCAGUUGCAUCUGCAACCACCAAUGCAGUCAUUCAAGUGUUGCGGAAGUUGUUUGCCACACAUGGGCUCCCAGACACAAUUGUAUCAGAUAAUGGAGCACAGUUUACAUCUGCAGACUUUAGAGCAUUUAUGGAAAGUAAUCUUAUUCGUCAUGUGACAACAGCACCAUUCCAUCCAUCCUCAAAUGGGCAAGCUGAGCGAAUGGUCCAGACUACAAAGGAUGCAUUAAAAAGGAUAAUUGAUGGUGACUGGAAUUAUAGACUGGCAAAAUUUCUGUUGCAGCAGCAUAUAACUCCUUCUACUAGCACUGGCUGCAGCCCUGCAGAACUUUUGAUGAACCGACGUCUUAAAACCUGUUUGGACAGACUGCAUCCUGACCUGGCUUCGGAUUUACAAAAUAAACAAGAAGAUCAAUUCCAUAAGAAUGCACAGACCUCCACAGUGAGGAUGUUUGAAGCAGGUAAUAGUGUGUAUGCCAGAAAUUAUGCAAUGGGACCAAAAUGGAUACCAGCAGUCAUUGUUGAAGCCACGGGCCCUGUCUCAUACAAGGUUAAGAUUGCGGAUGGCCGUGUUAUUCGAAGACAUGUUGAUCAGCUGCGGAGCAGACUAGGGGACAAUGCUUGUCCUAACACUGAGGGCAACCAUGGCCAGUCUGGAUUGCAAAAUGACUUAACUCCUCUAGCUUUUCCAGAGGAAGAGAUUCCUGCAGCUGAACAAACAGAAGAUGUACCUGAGAGGGUACCCGAUAACACUGAGGCCAAUCUACAAGGAGAGGUUAUCAGUGUCCCACUGGAGCGGCCCCGAAGGGCCAUUCAAAAGCCCCGCUACCUAGAGGAUUAUGUUAUCUAGGAGGGGAGGGGUGUUGUGUAUUGACUGUUAAUGUGUGAUCACUAGAUGGCGCUGUUACAUGUACAAAACUGAUAUGUGUCAUCCG